rnacentral:rRNA from 1 species
AACGAACGCUGGCGGCAUGCCUAACACAUGCAAGUCGAACGAGACCUUCGGGGCUAGUGGCGCACGGGUGCGUAACGCGUGGGAACCUGCCCUUAGGUUCGGAAUAACUCCCCUAAAGGGGUGCUAAUACCGGAUAAUGUCUUCGGACCAAAGAUUUAUCGCCUUUGGAUGGGCCCGCGUUGGAUUAGCUAGUUGGUAGGGUAAAAGCCUACCAAGGCGACGAUCCAUAGCUGGUCUGAGAGGAUGAUCAGCCACACUGGGACUGAGACACGGCCCAGACUCCUACGGGAAGCAGCAGUGGGGAAUAUUGGACAAUGGGCGAAAGCCUGAUCCAGCAAUGCCGCGUGAGUGAUGAAGGCCUUAGGGUUGUAAAGCUCUUUUACCCGGGAGGAUAAUGACAGUACCGGGAGAAUAAGCUCCGGCUAACUCCGUG